AGGCGGGUAACUCAGUGGCCAGAGUACCGAUGAGCAGUUUGCUCCAUUUCCUCUUUUUCACAUACUAGGCGGAGGCCUAGGGCGCACUUCCUUCCCUUUCGGCUACGAACCGGGUUGUUGUUGGUUCGAAUCCAACCUCGCCGA
rnacentral:tRNA from 1 species